UACGUAGGGGGCUAGCGUUGUCCGGAAUCAUUGGGCGUAAAGCGCGUGUAGGCGGUCCGGUAAGUCCGCUGUGAAAGUCGGGGGCUCAACCCUCGGAUGCCGGUGGAUACUGUCGGGCUUGAGUACGGAAGAGGCGAGUGGAAUUCCUGGUGUAGCGGUGAAAUGCGCAGAUAUCAUGAGGAACACCAAUUGCGAAGGCAGCUCGCUGGGACGUUACUGACGCUGAGACGCGAAAGCGUGGGGAGCAAACAGG
rnacentral:rRNA from 1 species